rfam:Ornithorhynchus anatinus chromosome X5, whole genome shotgun sequence.
CACCUCUCAGGGUCGCAUCUGGAGAGUUUCCAGUAGUCUACCAGUCUCGGCUACGAGAGGGAGAGUCAUGCAGAGGGCUACCCAUUCCAUUCCUUGCUUGGGCAGUGGCUAGCGAGUGGUAGGCCAUCUGCUACAAGU